rnacentral:rRNA from 1 species
AAUGAACGUUGGCGGCGUGGAUUAGGCAUGCAAGUCGUACGGGAGUAGCAAUACUCAAGUGGCGAAAGGGAUAGUAAUACAUAGAUCAUCUGCCCCCUGGUCGGGGAUACCUUGCCGAAAGGCAAGUUAAUACCCGAUGAUUUCUCCGGAACAAAGGUGUGAUUCCGCCCGGGGAUGAGUCUAUGUCCUAUUAGCUUGUUGGUGGGGUAAUGGCCUACCAAGGCUCUGAUGGGUACGAGGCGUGAGAGCGUGACCUCGAUCACUGGGACUGAGACACUGCCCAGACACCUACGGGUGGCUGCAGUCGAGAAUCUUCGGCAAUGGACGAAAGUCUGACCGAGCGACGCCGCGUGUGUGAUGAAGGUCUUCGGAUUGUAAAGCACUGUAAGUUGGGAGGAAAUGUGUGGGGGUUAUCCCCUGCAUUUGACCUAUCUUCAAAGUAAGGACGGGCUAAGUUCGUGCCAGCCGCCGCAGUAAGAC